rnacentral:other from 1 species
GUAAAAGAGCAACUUCCAUUAAAACAAGGAUUGAAAU